rnacentral:tRNA from 1 species
CAUGGGGUGGUGUAACUGGCAGCACGCCCGAUCUCUUACAUCGGGAUCGGGAGGUCGCGGUUCAAAUCCGUGUCCCAUGC